AACUCGUAACAAGGUUUCCGUAGGUGAACCUGCGGAAGGAUCAUUAACACGUAUCCAAACGUUAAAUCCCCCCCCGUGAACCUUCAUCCUGCUCUUGUAACCCGCGUAGUUCGCAAUCUCUGAUAGAUCAUAGCCCGAAAAGUUGUAGUGAUUCAGAGACCUCUGGCUACGUGCGAACAUUGGAACAGUUACAAUCGAGCGGUGGUUCUAGAGGCAAUGUUUCCCCAAGCAGUCAGUGUCGGAAAGUCUCAUUGAUUGUGCAAGGAUAGCGCUUCUACGAUUCCUGCCGAACAACUGUUAACAAUGGAUAUCUUGGUUCUC
rnacentral:misc_RNA from 1 species